ACACGCUGGGCAGAGCCAAAAUGGGGAAGAACAUGUUGAAGAUUCCAAAACCCUUGAUUUCAUUCAAAUCCACAUAACUUCUCGCUCUGAGCUCCGAUUGACGAUCCGUUUACGGCCACGCGACCGCGGCGUCGAGCUCUACAAAGCCCAUAACAUUGUAAGGUUUAAUUUAUCUUGCGAAGCUUAUUGAGCUCGAGUUGUUACGCGUGUGGGCACGGUAAAGACAACCUAGACCCUAGCCCAAUAUUGUAUUUAUGAUGAGAAAUCUGAAAUUGGAACAUGUAUAUGUAUUAGGUGUAGAUCAAGUGGGUAUAUAAGCAUUGGAAAUGAAUUGGGAUUACUUGGAGGUUUGUUGAUGACCAAGGCUUGUUUUGGGGCUGUUUGAUUGAGCUUUGAGGGGCUGUAAUUUUGAGUUGUGAGACUGCCUUGGGUGAACUAAGUGAUCGGGCAAUAUGCAGGUCGAGAGGCUCCUCGCUAGGCGUCUGGAUCCUGGGAAGCAAAGUAGUCCUUGGGUGUAUUUUGGUUUUCUAUUUGUAUAUAUGUAUAUAUAUUUAGCUUACUCUCCAAGUAACUUAUGUAUGCUGCUCCCCUUAGAGGUUGAGGGAGAGAUAUGAGUUUAUUUUGGUAUUUUGGUAUAUUUUGGGGAUACCU